rnacentral:rRNA from 1 species
GACGAACGCUGGCGGCGUGCUUAACGCAUGCAAGUCGAACGGAAAGGCCCUGCUUGCAGGGUACUCGAGUGGCGAACGGGUGAGUAACACGUGGGUGAUCUGCCCUGCACUUCGGGAUAAGCCUGGGAAACUGGGUCUAAUACCGGAUAGGAGCCAUUUUUAGUGUGAUGGUUGGAAAGUUUUUUUCGGUGUAGGAUGAGCUCGCGGCCUAUCAGCUUGUUGGUGGGGUAAUGGCCUACCAAGGCGGCGACGGGUAGCCGGCCUGAGAGGGUGGACGGCCACAUUGGGACUGAGAUACGGCCCAGACUCCUACGGGAGGCAGCAGUGGGGAAUAUUGCACAAUGGGCGCAAGCCUGAUGCAGCGACGCCGCGUGGGGGAUGACGGCCUUCGGGUUGUAAACUCCUUUCGCUAGGGACGAAGCUUUUUGUGACGGUACCUAGAUAAGAAGCACCGGCUAACUACGUG